rnacentral:rRNA from 1 species
UACGGGGGGGGCAAGCGUUGUUCGGAAUUACUGGGCGUAAAGGGCGCGUAGGCGGGCUGUCAAGUCUGGGGUGAAAUGCCGCGGCUCAACCGUGGAACUGCCUUAGAUACUGACGGCCUCGAGGAAGGUAGGGGCAUGCGGAACUGUAGGUGGAGCGGUGAAAUGCGUUGAUAUCUACAGGAACUCCGGUGGCGAAAGCGGCGUGCUGGACCUUUUCUGACGCUGAGGCGCGAAAGCUAGGGGAGCAAACGGG